rnacentral:rRNA from 1 species
UACGAAGGGGGCUAGCGUUGUUCGGAAUUACUGGGCGUAAAGCGCACGUAGGCGGAUCGAUCAGUCAGGGGUGAAAUCCCAGGGCUCAACCCUGGAACUGCCUUUGAUACUGUCGAUCUGGAGUAUGGAAGAGGUGAGUGGAAUUCCGAGUGUAGAGGUGAAAUUCGUAGAUAUUCGGAAGAACACCAGUGGCGAAGGCGACUCACUGGACAUGUAUUGACGCUGAGGUACGAAAGCGUGGGGAGCAAACAGG